AGCUUAGGGAGGCGGGCGCCACGCCACGAGGAGGCUGCCCUGAUAGCCGGUGCAAGUGCUCCUUGGCGGGGCGGCCCGCGACUCCCGCCUUGGACCGUUCACUCCCUGAGGGGCCUGGGGGUCAGUCAGAAGACUAACGACCACCAGUCACCGAGAGCUCAGUUCGUGCCAAACCCUGCUCGCGCUGUCCCCGACUUAUUGUUCACAACGACCCUACAAGUCAUUCUCCUUCCCACUGGGAACCGAGGAUCAGAGGGAAGUCAUGGCCCGAGUGCCCCGGUCACACCUCCGUGAGCGGCCUCGGGCUCGCGGUUGAGGCUGAUUGAGGAAGUGGGUUCAGGCGGCCCGCCGUGCCUGGCACACGGUCAGAGUCCCGUAAGUGUUGGUUAUCUUCCCCAAGCGCACCGGGUGAACCUGCGCUGUCGUGGCGAAGCAUACUCAUUCAGCACGCGCGCGAGGGGCUGCGGGGGUACAGAGACGUGCAGCGUGACACAGUCCCCACCCUCAGGAGCGCGAGGCGCAGGAAGGUGCUGGACACACGCCAGGCACUUCUCUCCAUUCUUGACUUCCCUCUGUUCCCAACAUGGUCCCAUUUUCUUGCCUUCCUUAGUAUUCAUAUUCGUUGCCUGCCUUUCUUCUCCCCCCACCCCUUUCCACUCUCAGGCCUCAUCCCAUCUUCUUUGUUUACAUUUAUUUUACAUUCCCCGAAUAUUUACUUAGCUCCCUUUCUCCUCUAUUUUUCAAAUUUUCAACCCCCCUUUUCAUUAAUAUUCAUAUUUCCUUCUCCUCUGCCUCUGCAUUUCUUACACUUAUAUUUUGUUUUAUAAACUAGGGUAACACAGGAUUGUAUCCUCAACUCCUGUUCCCUAACAUGCCCACACUUUCCUGCCUCCCUCUCUUAAGUUCCACCAGUUCUUCCUGGAAUGCUCUUUCCUCAACUUUGCAUGUCCAGGUCCUACCUAUCCUUCAAGGUCCAGACUCAAGAACAGCAGUUGGCAAACUUUUUCUGCCAGGGACCAGAGAGUAAAUAUUUUAGACUUUGUAGGUCACACGGUCUGUGGCAACAACUCAUCUCUGCUGUUGCCGCAGGAAAGCAACCACAGACAAUAUGUACGUGAAGGAGUGUGGUUGUGUUCCAAUAGAACUUUAUUUAUGGGCACUAGAAUUGGAAUUUCAGAUAAUUUUCAUGUAUCAUGAAAUAGAAUUCUUUUGAUUUUUUCAAAAAAAAAUUUAAAAUGUAGAAAUCAUUAUUAGCUUGCGAGCUGUACGAACACUGGCAAUGUGAUGGUUUUGGCCAUUGGGCUGUAGUUUGUCAACCUCUGCUCUAGAACAAUGCCUCGUCCUCCCUGAAAUCUAUCCUGAACAUCUCUAGUUGGCAGUAACUUUUCCUGUUUUGUAGCUUUUAAAUGACUUACCUCAAAUCCAUCUAUGGCAUUUAUCGCAUUUUACUUUCUAUUGUAAUUUUUUUCCUGUGCAUUUUUCAUCGUUUCAAGUAGACCUUCAGCUCUUGAGGUGGGGUACAGACCGUGUUUCUCAGUGUGCUACCUCCCUUCCCACAGUGCUUUGCACAGAGCAGGCAUUCACACAUACACAGAAUGGGCCGGGCGCAGUGGCUCACACCUGUAAUCCCAGCACUUGGGAGGCCGAGGCGGGCAGAUCACCUGAGGUCAGGAGUUUGAGACCAGCCUGGCUAACAUGGCGAAACCCUGUCUCUACUAAAAGUACAAAAAUUAGCUGGGCAUGGUGGUGUGCACCUGUAAUCCCAGCUACUCGGGAGGCUGAGGCAGGAGAGUCACUUGAACCCGGGAGGUGUAGAUUGCAGUGAGCUGAGAUCACACCACUGCACUCCAGCCUGGGCGACAGAGUAAGAAUGCAUCUCAAAAAAAAAAAAAAAAAAAAAGACAUACACAGAAUGGAUAUUUAAGUCUUGGGUGGUUGACAGUUGUUUCCACUGUGUAAAGCUUACUUCUCUCAUGAGAUAGGACCUCAAGAGGAGGAUGCUUGUUUGUAUAUCACCAUGAUUAGAUUUCAGAAAGAAAAUUUUGAGAGCUUUAUGGAGGAGAAAGGCAAAUGUCAGUUCAUUUAGGGGUUUCUGGAUUACAAACACUUGAGCAAAAAAUGUUGAUUACCACUGUUGCGGAGACAGGGCAUGAGUACUCAGUGGGGUCCCAUAUGGUACUUCUAUUAGCAAAUUGGUAAAAGGCAAAUAAAACAUGCUAUAUAAUUUACAGGUGGCAAAGUUAAGCAGAGGUGUUAGUAUAAUGAAUAGCAGAAUUCAGAUAGAAAAGAUUCCUGCCCCACCACUUGUUUUUUUCUAUGCCUCAGUGGUCUUACCUUUAAAAUGAGGAUGAUAAAAGUUGCUACCUCAGAGGGUUAUUGUCAGGAUUAAAUGAGGAAAUAUGUGUAGUCUAGCAGAGAGGGCUCAGUAAAUAUUAACUAUUAAUCAUUACUGUUUUCUUGCUAGGCUGGAACUAUGGGCUGAAUUUACAAGGUAACACUUAACAGAUGUAAGCAAUUAUAUUUUGGUUCAAACUAUAAAUUAUACAAGUUUGAGACUAGGGAGAGCUGGCAUGACAGCAGUUCCAGGUAAGACGAAACCUCAGAAACAAAAAUGAAACCCAGCUCUCUGGAAUUCAGGUGACAGUGCUCUGUGAACAACAGUGUCAUUCCUAUAGGGUGGGAGAGUUCACGGGGGCCAUUCGUGCACCAUCCUGAUGAAGGAAGGUGAGCGAGUGACUACCGUAGGAGUCAGAGUCAUGGCGCUGCCCUUUCAGAGCCGCGGGACCUGGAGCCCCUCAGCCUUUGUUUCUGCCUCUGAAUAAUGGGGCGAUUCUACUUAUGUCCUAGGGCUGUCGUGAGUGAGUAAAGGACUUGGAACAGUACUCAGCAUAUACUAAGUGUUCAACAAAUUUUGGUUCCUCCCUACCGUAAAACAUGGAUCUAGGGAACAGCCCUGCCCCUGAAACAGGCCUCUAAAGACUAGUAGCUGUUUAUAUUUGGAAUUAAUGUGCUCAAUUUUGGGGACCAAACGUUAGGAAAAUUAAUGAAAAGGUAGAAUGUAGAUAGACAAGCCUGACCAGAAUGGUGAGAAUGGAGGUCUUGAUC
rnacentral:lncRNA from 1 species